GCCUGAGUGGCUCAGCGGUUGAGCAUCUGCCUUUGGCUCAGGACAUGAUUCUGGGGCCUUGGGAUCGAGUCCCACAUCAGGUU
rnacentral:tRNA from 1 species